rnacentral:rRNA from 1 species
GACGAACGCUGGCGGCGUGCUUAACACAUGCAAGUCGAACGGAAAGGCCCUCCUUUGGGGUUCCUGAGUUGCGAAAGGGUGGGUAACCCGGGAGUAACUUACCCUUGCCCUUGGGAUUACGUCAGGGAACUGGGGCUAAUACCGGAUAGGAGCUCCUGCUGCAUGGUGGGGGUUGGAAGGUUUUUGGGUUUGGGGUGGGCUCGGGGCCUAUUGGCUUGUUGGUGGGGUAAUGGCCUACCAAGGCGUCGACGGGUAGCCGGCCUGGGAGGGUGAACGGCCAAAUUGGGCCUGGGUUCGGCCCAGAACUCCACGGGGGGGCAGAGGGGGGGAUAAUGGCACAAUGGGGGGAAGCCUGAUGCGGCACCGCCGGGUGCGGGAUGACGGCCUUCGGUUUGUAAACCGCUUUCGCCUGUGACGAAGCGUGAGUGACGGUAAUGGGUAAAGAAGCACCGGCUAACUACGUG